CGUCCUGUGUCCUCCCUUGUCCAUGUUUUCUGGCGCUGUUUUAAAUAUGAAUGAUUAUAAGGAUAGAGCAGUUUGGUGAAGCUGUUGAAUCAGCAAUGAGAAAGGUGCAAACUGUGUGUACUGUAGUGAUGGGCGACUUCAAUACCAAAGUGGGAGAAAAAUCGGCCGGGGGACAAGCAACUGACACUACGAUAUCGAUUCUGGGAAUUGUAUAGGAGCGAUGUCGGCAGAAUUCGCGGAUAAUAGACUCCGAACAAUGAGUACUUUUUUCAGGAAGCGCAUUAAUAGGAACUAUACUUGGAAAAGUCAUAUCGGAGAAACAAGAAAUGGAGCUCUCGGCCCAUCCUACCCAAGUGCAGGAUGUAGAAGUGUUAUGUAGCGUAAAUGACAGUGAUCCUAGAUUAGUGAGGUCUAGGCUUGCUUUCAGUUUUGUUGUGUUAUCGCUCUAGCGGCGGCGCGACUAUCGCGACAGCUUGUUAUAUUUGCCCAGUCAUGUGGCCACCGGGCCGCAUUUCACUACGAGGCAUCAUGGAAUAAACCACGUUUGGUUUUGCUUACGCCUUCUUCCCUCGGCUGCGGUUUCCCCCCACGAAAACACUACAUUGGCGACGAGGAUGGGAUCCUGAGCAAUUCUACGGCAAGCUGACAUGGCAACGGAAGAUCCGGCAGUGGCGGGUUCAGUGGCGCAAAUCGUGGGUGGACUGGGACGCAUCGAGCCCUUUGACGAGUCCGCAAGCGACUGGCCGUCGUACGAGGAACGAUUGUCGUCGUUUCUUUAGGCCAACCGUAUCCCCGAGGACGACAAGGUCGUGCCAACGACGCUGAAGCUGCGGACGUUCGACGGAGCCGUCGUCCAGCCUGUCGGAGUGGCUCACGUUGCCGUGCAGUACGGAGAGCAGAGGGCUCGGCUGCCUUUUUACAUCACGAGAGAUAAGGGACCCCCUCUGCUAGGUCGACAACGGUUGCGAGCCAUCCGACUCGACUGGAGCCGUAUUUUCAAGCUCAACGCUAUUCCCAGGUGGGUCGAUUCUGCCUGUUCCAGACUGCGCGCUCUUCUAGACAGGUAUCAGAGCUUGUUUCAGGACGAUCUGGGGACAAUUACAUAAGAAAGAGCGACGUUGUACCUGAAAGAAAGUAGUGUGCCAAAAUUUAUGAAGGCAAGAAGUGUUCCCUCUGCAUUGCAACCAGCAGUCGAGGCUGAGCUUCAUAAGUUGGAAGACAUGGGAGGCAUAUCGCCAGUCGAACAAGUGACUACGCCACGCCGGUUGUGCCGUAGUAAAAAAGGACGGUGGCAUAAGACCAUGCGGCGAUUAUAAGACCACCCUAAACCAUUUGUCUUGAAACUGAUUGAUAUCCACUCCCGAGAAUCGACGAGUUAUUCACAGCGCUCGCAGGGGGCCAAGAAUUUUCUAAAAUUGACCUAAAUCGAGCCUAUCAGCAGGUAGUAAUGUCAGAGUCGUCAAGAAAGUACUUGACACUAAAUAUUCAUAAAGGACUUUUUUCCGUACACAGGCUGCCGUUCGGGGUUUCUUCGGCACCUUUCAUUUUCCAAAGAAUUAGGGACACAAUGGUGAAAGGCCUGAAAGGCGUCAGCUGCUAUUUGGAUGACGUUCUCAUCGCCGGCAAGAGGUCAGACGAGCAUUUUGCAAAUCUCGAAGCGGUUCUGAAGCGGUUGACUGAGCGCGCCGUUCGAGUAAAGAAAAAAAAGUGUUCAUUUUUCCAAGCGGAAUUACAGUAUCUGGGUCAUGUUAUCAGUGCAGCAGGUGUCAGCACAACGCCAGACAAGAUAGAAGCACUGAUGAAAGCAUCCGCGCCCACAGGCAAGCAGCAACUACAAUCGUUUCUGGGCGUUGUAAGUUACUACGGGAAGUUUGUUCCUCGAUUGUCUACUCUGGCGAGUCCACUUUACAAACCGCUGCGUCGCGACCAGCCAUGGCUCUGGGAUGAAUCAUGUCAAGGAGCGUUCGAGGAAAUCAAGAAUGCGUUGGCGUCAUCCUCGCUCCCGGUGCAUUACGACCCAGAUAAACCUUUGCAAGUGGCAUGUGAGGCUUCCCAAUACGGCGUGGGCGCAGUGCUUUCCCAUGUAACUGAAGAUGGAAGCUCUCGGCCUGUGUUUUAUGCGUCGCGCACAUUAACUGAGGCUGAAAAGAAGUACAGUCAGCUAGAAAAAGAAGCGCUGGCCAUUAUCUUUGCCGUCAAAAAGUUUCAUUUUUACAUCUAUGGAAGAUGUUUCACGUUGAUUACGGAUCACAAGCCAAUACAAACAAUUCUGGGGCAAAAAACAGGCAUUCCACCAAUUGAAGCGGCACGCUUACAGCGAUGAGCUGUCACGUUGUCCGCUUACAAGUACUCGCUCGUGCACAAAAUUUCAGUGACAACGCAGAAGCAAUUUUUUUUCAAGGUUCCAGCUCCAGGGUGCUGAAGACGGCGCGUCCGAUGGCGAGGAAUCAUUUUAUGCUUUGCGUCUGGACUCUAUGCCGGUGUCCGCAAAACAGAUUGUGCUCGCUACAGCACGUGAUCCGGUGCUCAGCAAAAUGCUCCACCUUACAAGCACAGGCUGGCCAUUGCAUUUGCGAGAUGCGAGCUUAAAACAAUUUUUCGACAGACGUUUGCAGAUCAGCGUGCAUCAAGGGUGCCUCAUGUAUGGCCUGAGGGUUGUUAUUCCGUCUCCUCUUAGGGAGUCCGUGCUCGAUGAACUGCACCUAGGUCAUCCCCGCAUUGUGCGGAGCAAGGAGCAGGCUCGCAGCUACGUGUGCUGGCCGUCAAUUGAUGCAGACGUAAAGUACGAAGUUGCCACGCCUGCCAGGAACAACGGAAUUAUCCAUUUAGGGCAUCUCUGCAUCCCUGGCCAUGGCCGACCGCACCGUGGAGGCGAAUUCACUUUGACUUCGUGAGACCUUUCCGAGGAACUAUGUUUUUAGUGGUUGUAGAUGCUCACUCGAAGUGGCCGGAAGUGUUCGUUAUGCGAAGCACUACAUCCGAGAGUACUGUUUCCUGCUUUCGUGAACUUUUCUGUAGAUUCGGAGUGCCGGAGACGGUUGCGUCCUACAAUGUACCACAACUGCUGUCCGAAGAGUUCAAGGCGUUUAUGCGGAACGUUGGGGCCAGACAUGUCGUGAGCGCCCCUCAUCGCCCAAGCACAAAUGGUCUGGCGGAGCGUUUCGUGCAAACGUUGAGGUCUGCUCUACGCAAGUCAUCUCCCGAGGCUCAACGGAGUGGGUUCGCGGAACCGUUCUGAAGAAGACUGGACCAGUCUCUUGCAAAGUCAUGGUAACCACACCCCGAGACAAGUUCAUCUGGCGUCGACAUCUCGACCAUCUGCUGGCUGGCGCCGGCCCUAUGGUGACACCAAGGGCAUCCGGCUCCGACUUCACGGAGGGGUUCCCGGUCUUCCCUCAAAGCCAGACUGGUGACCAGCCAACGUCAGAAGAUCCGGGGCCCGUGAUCCGAGACAUCAGCUCCGCAAAGGCGCUACCCGUCAAGACAACGCAUUCCACCCGAGCGAUACUAAGCCCGUUCUUUAACUAUUGUAUAAGGAUACAAGUGCACCCUCUAAAAUAAAGAGGGAGGAGUGUUGUAAUAUCAUCGUCGCUAGAGCGAUAGCAGCGGCGCGACUGUCGCGACAGCUUGUUAUAUUAGCCCAGUCAUGUGGCCACCGAGCCGCAUUCCACUACGAGCCAUCAUGGAAUAAAGCACCUUUCGUUUUGC